GCGCGGGCGGGGCCGCGGGGGCGCUGAGACGCUGCGAGGCACGUGGGGUCGACGUCUCAACCUUCUGCAGGUCUGUCGGCAUCGAACGGCGGUAGUCCUACCUACGACAACACGACGGACGAGGGCAAUCGGAGCGAGUGUGCGGCAAGCAGGAAAGAUCGCAGCAUCUGGUGGGUGAAAUAGUACACAGUAAGUAUGCAGACUUGCUUAGGUACUUGCAACCAUGUAGCUUCUCAGCCUUCACUAGAAAAAACACACGGCAACAGCCACAAUGGUAGAUUUCUGUUGACCUGAUACAAUCGCUGGAGUUUCGCAUUUUAUUUGACGAGCUGCUUAUCAAAACGGAAUUAUUCGAAUAUUUUUUAUUGUGUGAUCGUGAUUUUUUCUGUCACGUACAAAAUGUUACCAUCUUAUUGAUUUCUACUUUGAGUUUUGUUUUGAGUUUGGAAGAGUGGAAAACUAUUCGAUUUGGUGCUGCUCUCUUGUUUGUCUGUCUGCACAUGUUUAUGCACAUCUGUCUUCAAGCCGCUUCCCUAGGCGUCUCCUACGGUGAUUUUUUCUUGAAGUGAUGUAGCAUUGCAUGCAACAUGGAAUGUUGAAAUGUGUUUUAAAUAGUGGGGGUCAGGACUUUUGAAUUGUACUUCUUUUAAUUUUGUUUUUUUCAUGCUACGGUUGCAUUUUGCCAAUAGUACAUGUGCUUUACACUGAUACAAAUGUAGUACCUGUCUGUAGAAUUGACUAAAAAUAUAGACGUUGGGCAAAAUCAAAUGUGAAACCAUUCAUCUCUUAAGUAGGAAGCAGGAAUUCCUCGGCGAAAUGCAAGGUGGCCGUGAUGAAAAUUGUGGGAGGGGCCUAACUCCCGUGGGAUUUGCCCACUACCCUUUUUGUUCACGAUGUCGCUUACAUGUCGUUGGCUGUCCGUGCGUCGCCGUCACGUUUUCUUGGCAUGCUACUGUGAAUUACAUUCGUCGCGAGUCUGCGUGUGAGAGUGUUUGCGCGUGGCGACCAGGCAGGCUGCACUGGCGUAGGUGCAGUUGUGUGGUCUCCCUCUCGCUCCUGGAAGGUUGUGGUGUGUUCACGUGCGAGCGAAGUAGUGAUAGGAAGAUCACCCGAACGAAACGAACAACGUUGACGAAUAAACAAAAGAUCGACAAACGAACGUGCCGCGCACAGCGCACGUGCGCCUGCAAGAUGGCGUCACGCUAGAAGCUGUUACUCGCCUCAUCGAGACGGCGCUUCUGAAGACAAUAGAGCAUUCCGUGACUUGCCGAGUGGACCUCUGUGGCUCCGCCUGGUGGCGAACGCCGGGUGAUGUGAAUCGAAGAGUUGGACUCACCGAUCGUAUUGAGGAUUGUAAGUUAACGUAGGCUAAUCGAUCGAGUAUUCAAACCUCGUUUUUCGUUUCCGUCGUGCUUUGCGAUGUCGCCGUAUUGUGGACACCGGCCACCUCUGAUGAUCAUGCUCUAGUUUUACUUGUGUCUCCUGCUACGAUUGUAUGCUUUUCCACACCGAAGCCCCGUUUGCACGGUAAAAGGUUACCCCGGGUAAACACACGAGUGCACGUUUUUUUUACUAUGGUAGUGCAAUGGUGUGGGUUGAACGAUACUGGGGCACACACCCGGAUUAAAACCUGGGUAACAUUUGGAAGUGUAAACGCAAUUUCGUCCACGUGUAUGCCCGGAUAGAUAGAUACCUGGGUAACCUUUCCAUGCGUGAUCUGGGGCUUAAGAGUAUGCAGUUUGCAAUAUUUGAUGUCGGGUUAUUGGUUAUAUUUGGUCGCACAUAUCGCAAACACUCUGACGAGUGUGAAAUCAAAAUGCCUUUGAGACGACAAUUUUGUCGAAUUGCCAUUACCGUAGGUUUUAUAAUGUCAAAAUUAUAUAUAUAUAUAUAUGUAUAUGUAUAUCGCAGCUAUAAGAUAUCUAUACUUGCUCCAUGGGCAGCUGGUAUAGAUCGUGAUGGUGUGGAAGUGCGUGAUGUUUAUUAUGUACAUUGUCAAUAUCUUGUCUACGACUGUGCUUGUGUGGUAGCUGAUUCAUGGGUUGAUAACAUGAUGAUGUGUGGUGUGAGGGAGGGUAAUAAAUAAUACACACUGCUGGCUGGUCCAUCUGCUAAGGCUUCUACUUACUACUGCUCAGUACCGUGGUCAAAAUUUUCAGGUUUCCAAAAUCUUAUAUCAGUGUCGUGAUCUGAAUGAUAUAGAUCACAGGUCGCAGUCAUCAUGUGAAUAAUCCGCCAGCUAGUACGACGGCAGUGACGUGGUGAGUGGGGGUUGUAUUCGGACAGUGGUGGGAGUAGAAGCUACUUACUAUUAUCAUCGUGAACGUGUCUAUCUUCACACUGUAUAAAGAUAUGUUCACGAUGUUUACAAUUAGUAGUCAUCUUUUGCUUCCAACGUCCACAUGUGUGACUGAAGCGUAUCUCUGUGUAACAAGUCGGGAGUAAAUAAUAGAAAGGGCUAUAAUAACUUUAUGGUAAAUGUAAACAUUGGCGUGUAUUGGCAUGUCGUAAUCCGUUAUUAUUUACUCCUGGACGAGUGUUGUUGAUUACUGGUUAUUAAACUGCCAUUAAUCUCCUAUCAGUUUUACAGGGGGUUGUAAUUUCUACGCGUGUUUUUAUAUUACUUGUUUGUAAUUAUAUGAAAUUUUAUGUACAAUAUAUGAAUAUAGUAAUCGUAA